GGGGUUGUAGUUCAGCGGUCAGAGCGUCUGUUUGUCGAACAGAAAGUCGCGGGUUCAAAUCCCGUCAGCCCCG
rnacentral:tRNA from 1 species